AUUGAACGCUAGCGGCAGGCCUAACACAUGCAAGUCGGACGAGCGGCGGACGGGUGAGUAAUAUAUGGGGAUCUGCCUAGUGGAGGGGGAUAACUACUGGAAACGGUAGCUAAUACCGCAUACCAUCAGAUGAGCCCAUAUGGGAUUAGCUUGUAGGUGAGGGAACGGCUCACCAAGGCGACGAUCCCUAGCUGGUCUGAGAGGAUGACCAGCCACACUGGGACUGAGACACGGCCCAGACUCCUACGGGAGGCAGCAGUGGGGAAUUUUGGACAAUGGGCGAAAGCCUGAUCAAGCCAUGCCGCGUGUAUGAAGAAGGCCUUAGGGUUGUAAAGUACUUUUAGUCGGGAGGGGGUACAGACAGAAGAAGCACCGGCUAACUCCGUGCCAGCAGCCGCGGUAAUAC
rnacentral:rRNA from 1 species